GAUAUAUAGAAAAUAACUAAUGGUUUAAUUAUUAUUUUUGAUGGGAUAAUUGUUGAAUGAAUUCUUUCUUUUCUCAGAAUUUUUUAAAUUUUUUUUAUUUUUGAUUUUGGAGACUUUGUUUUAGUCAGAAGCAGAACAAAGAUUGAGGUCUACCGAUGUAGACAUUCACAAAUCUGGAGAUAAUAUUUAUCUGUGUUGGCGCAAGGUCAAGAACUCAGUGAAUCAUAGCAAAUUUCUUAGAACUUUGAAGGGAGCACUUGACCAGGCAGCUAACAUGGCGAGAAUUAGCUUACUAAACUGACUGACUUUGAAGUCAGAGAAGAACUAGAGAAUGACUGAAUGAGUCUAAUUUGUUCAUUCAUGCACAAAUUUAAAGGUUGCUCUGCUCAAAACAAAACCCAAGUUUAAGAAUGUUUGGUUUUUCCAUCGGUUGGUAAUUUGGCACUCUCUCCCUCUAUUAAAGCCGUGGCCCUUGCUUCUUGAAUUUUGGCUGUGGAGACAAAAUUCAAGAACCUGCCCUGUUCAAAACUUUCUGGGCCUGAAAACGUUUAACAAGUAGUGUGCUCAAUGCAAUACAUAGACCGGGUGGAAUCUGGCACUUCUUGACCAUGAGUUACAAUUGUUCAAGAGGGUGAAUCCAAACUACAAUGCCCAGGGAAAUGGCUUGGAGCUAUUAUCCAUAGGAGAGUGUGACAUUGAAACCAAAAGGAUUUUCAAAGAUGGUUCUACAAAAGUCAGGCAUCAUCUUUCUAUAGAUUGAUUUUCUCUUUUGGUGCAGUCUGGAGCUCAUUGCUGUUUACAAUUGAUAAUUUCAAGUGCAGGGAAAACUUGUGCUUGCUCCAUUGAUGGAGUUUGAGACUUCCACAACAAAGAACCUCUUUGUUUGGAUGGAGGCCACUGUGUCGUCUUUGAAGCAAGUGUGAAAUAUGAAGAUGAUCCAUAUCUUUGUGUAUUUUGGAGAUAAGGGAAAGUGAGCAUUUUCUGGAAGGGACUAGAAUUAGGGAGAGAGAGAUUACGUCCCUGGUUGACUUCCAUUCAAAUGAAAUACCUUGUUUUUUUACCUGAAUUCUCCUAUCAAAUUUUGUUCCUAUUGGAGAACGUAGGAAUUUCCUUAUAGCUGAUAUAGCCACUUGGUGAAAUUAUCAAUCAAUGAAGAGUUGGUGACCAAAGCUUCGUCCUUCCAUAUGCCCUGUAAAAGCAAAUUUUUAGAAGCCAUGAGAACUUACAUAUUCCUCACAGCAAUUGAAGUUAAAGUCAACUGUAGGAGUGUAUUGAUGAGAAUGCUUAUAUUCUAGGGUCAUAUGAAUUUUACUCUGCAUUUAGUUAGGAUGUUAUGCCCUUCCUAGAUUUUAGAUCCUUACUACUUGAAGUAUGAGUGUAUUCCUUCAAAAUUUCUGAAGGGUAGGUUGUCCAUUGUCCCAUGUAUGGUUUUAACUGCUUCACUUAAGGUCAACUUUGUGUUUAGUUAUUUAUUCUUAUAUUCAAAAUAUUCUUUUUUACGUAUUUAUUUGGCCCUAGAGCAUAAUAUUCACAAAUUUUACAUAUUUUAAAGCUUGAUAUAAACCUUAGCAAUUCUUCUGGUAAUGUCCUACCUGCUAAGUUUAUAGUAUUUCUAAAUCACUGAUACCUUGCCUUUAGAGCAAAAUUUACUUCUUUAUCUUUUGUCAGAUUUAAGUAGUUUUAUUUCAUACAGCCUUGAAGAAGGCUGGAAAAAGUCACAAGUGCAACUCUGUAAUGUCAAAUGUGUAUUUCCAUUAAAAAAAAAUCUAAUGAGAAGAGGGAAAUCACCACAAUACAAUUCCCUCUUAUUUUCCUCUCUGUUUACUCUACUGCUACCAUUGAGAUUUAAUUGUGUUGAAUAAUUCACUCCUUUUCCCUUCUUGCCUGUCUCAUCUCCUGACCUUACCCUUUCGUACUUUCCAUUACUUUGAUGGCAAGAGCUUCUUCCUUUGCAAUAUUUUUACUGGAGUUGUUCAACUAUUAGAAUGGUUUUGUUUAACUGUUUUUGUUUUGGUCAGUAUAGUCAUAUAUUAUCUCAUGAAGCUCUUGUUGUUUUAUUUCUUUUUCUUCAUUGUUGAUGACUACUGCAUUAUGUUUUGUAGUUAAGAUAGUAAGAGCCUCUAUCCUUAUUUUGCAGUCUAUUUUCCACAAUGUCUUAAGGAGAGCCAUUGUUUUGGAUUAAUAGAGUGGCAAAUAGAGAUGACAAUUCCACUAAGCAGACAACCCAUCUCAUAACUCCUUUUUCUGUGAGAGGGAUGUCGGCCAUUAUAUGGACAUGUAGUUCCCCAUAGAAGGGUUAUUGAGUGGAGACUAUACAACACUAAGCUGACGAAGGGAAAUUUACAUCUGUCCUGAAUCUAGCUAUAAUAAGGAAGAUAUCUAAGAUCACAUAAUGAUGUUGAUUAGUCAGUUUUGUCCUGUUGAAGAAGUAUUAGUCAUCUUCAAAUGUUUUGGUAGAGAAAUGAGGACAAUUGAGUGGAUCAAGUCAUUUCAUCCAGAAUGCUGAAUUCGCAAUUCUCAACAUGUUGAAAACUGUUGUCAGCUAGAUUAUCAAGUAUAUCAUUUCAUCUUCAAAUUUCAUGAUUUGGCCCAUUUGGUGGUCAACUUUGUGAGGUUUUGGUGGAUCAACUUAUUGGGUUCCUUUUGCGAUUAUAACUAAGGUGCUCUUUGUACUUGUAUGCCAUUGCCAUUUAAGGUUUUGAAUAUAUAUUUUUUCUUGUGGGGAUGGAAACAUUGGAAAGAAAUUCUACAUGUCUACAAGCCUAAGAAAUUUAAGCAAAUCAAUCAUUUUUAUUCUGUU